ensembl:lncRNA
CAAUUAUUCAAAAUGCUCUCUUAAUCACCUUUCUUUAUGUGCAAUAUCGUUCCAGAGAGCCAACUACAGGAAGCAAAUGGCUUGUACACCAGAAGUUGCUGUCACCAUGGAUGGGAUUUUGAUCAAAAAGAGAAAAAGAAAAAGCCCCAUUGGCUGCUUCACCGGGACUAGAGCUCUACCAGACGUUGCCCGCAGUCAGUAGUUGACUCAAAUUCCCAACCGAAAGCAGAGGGGGGUUGAUCCUGUGGGACUGCUACACAGAUUCCACCUGUGCAGGCCAGUCAAGAUCAUGCCGCCCGAUCAGCCGAAUGGAGCCCCUAAUACAAGGCGCAAAACUGAGGCGGAAGAGGAAUAUUUGCCGGCGCAGUAUGAGUGAAGAAAUGUUUAAAGAAGCAUGUAAAGCCCUUUUGUUUUGGUUAUUAGAAAUCAAUAUCACAAAAUGAAACCUAUCGGUUUGACGUGACCAUUAUGUCACUCUCCCACGUGGUUUGAGAACCUUUGUUAGCAUUCACCUGAAUUUCAAAUAAAUUGUGUUAAUUGUACCUUCUA